rnacentral:rRNA from 1 species
GACGAACGCUGGCGGCGUGCUUAACACAUGCAAGUCGAACGGAAAGGCCCUGCUUUUGUGUGUUUCUCGAGUGGCGAACGGGUGAGUAACACGUGUGUAACCUGCCCCUGACUUUGGGGUAACUUCUGGAAACUGGGGCUAAUACCGGAGAUGAGCUCCUGCUGCAUGGUGGGGGUUGGAAAGUUUCGGCGGUUGGGGAUGGACUCGCGGCUUAUGAGCUUGUUGGUGUGGUAGUGACUGUCGAAGGUUUUGACGGCUAGCCGGCCUUAGAGGGUGAACGGGGACCUUGGGACUACGAUACGGACCAGUCUCCUACGGUGCGCAGUAGUGGGGAAUAUUGCACAGCGGGGGCGAGCCUGAUGCAACAGCCCCCCGAGCGUAAAGACGGCCUUCGGGUUGUAAACCGCUUUAGCCUGAAACGAAGCGUGAGUGACGGUAAUGGGUAAAGAAGCACCGGCUAACUACGUG